rnacentral:rRNA from 1 species
UACGGGGGGGGCAAGCGUUGUUCGGAAUUACUGGGCGUAAAGGGCUCGUAGGCGGCCAACUAAGUCGGAUGUGAAAUCCCCAGGCUCAACCUGGGAACUGCAUCCGAUACUGGAUGGCUUGAGUUCGGGAGAGGGAUGCGGAAUUCCAGGUGUAGCGGUGAAAUGCGUAGAUAUCUGGAGGAACACCGGUGGCGAAGGCGGCAUCCUGGACCGACACUGACGCUGAGGAGCGAAAGCCAGGGGAGCAAACGGG